CGGCUUAAUUUGACUCAACACGGGAAACCUCACCCGGCCCGGACACGGACAGGAUUGACAGAUUGAUAGCUCUUUCUCGAUUCCGUGGGUGGUGGUGCAUGGCCGUUCUUAGUUGGUGGAGCGAUUUGUCUGGUUAAUUCCGAUAACGAACGAGACUCUGGCAUGCUAACUAGUUACGCGACCCCCGAGCGGUCGGCGUCCCCCAACUUCUUAGAGGGACAAGUGGCGUUCAGCCACCCGAGAUUGAGCAAUAACAGGUCUGUGAUGCCCUUAGAUGUCCGGGGCUGCACGCGCGCUACACUGACUGGCUCAGCGUGUGCCUACCCUACGCCGGCAGGCGCGGGUAACCCGUUGAACCCCAUUCGUGAUGGGGAUCGGGGAUUGCAAUUAUUCCCCAUGAACGAGGAAUUCCCAGUAAGUGCGGGUCAUAAGCUUGCGUUGAUUAAGUCCCUGCCCUUUGUACACACCGCCCGUCGCUACUACCGAUUGGAUGGUUUAGUGAGGCCC
rnacentral:rRNA from 1 species